AUUUAAAUUGGCUUGGUUUAAUAAAGCUCUUACUACAUUGCUUGCAACGUAUACUGUCAAUGAGAUUUAUCCAGAUAAUCGAAUAAUAAAUUUAUUUGUUGUUCAAAAUCAACAUACUUCUUUUUAUUUGGAUGAUUAUGAUAUGUGGAAUUCUACUUCACAAGAUGACAGUUUAUUGAAAAUUCGCGCAUCCAUCAGAGCACCCUUUAUAGUGCGCAUGAUAGAAUACGCCGUCACCAAAGUAAUAUUUUGGAAUAGCAUUCGAUCAUAUGCAAACAAAA